UACGUAGGGUGCAAGCGUUGUCCGGAAUUAUUGGGCGUAAAGAGCUCGUAGGCGGUCUGUCGCGUCGGAUGUGAAAAUCCAGGGCUCAACCCUGGACCUGCAUUCGAUACGGGCAGACUAGAGUUCGGCAGGGGAGACUGGAAUUCCUGGUGUAGCGGUGAAAUGCGUUGAUAUCAUCAGGAAUACCGGAGGCGAAGGCGGCUCACUGGGGGUCUUCUGACGCUGAGGAACGAAAGCCAGGGGAGCGAACGGG
rnacentral:rRNA from 1 species